UACGGAGGAUGCAAGCGUUAUCCGGAAUGAUUGGGCGUAAAGCGUCCGCAGGUGGCAAUGUAAGUCUGCGGUCAAAGCGUCUGGCUCAACCAGAUAAAGGCAGUGGAAACUACAUAGCUAGAGUAAGGUAGGGGUAGAGGGAAUUCCUGGUGUAGCGGUGAAAUGCGUAGAGAUCAGGAAGAACACCGGUGGCGAAAGCGCUCUGCUGGACCUUAACUGACACUGAGGGACGAAAGCUAGGGGAGCGAAUGGG
rnacentral:rRNA from 1 species